rnacentral:tRNA from 1 species
GGGCCGUUAACUCAGUUGGCAGAGUAUCUGCCUUUUAAGCAGAGAGCCGCUGGUUCGAAUCCAGCACGGCCCACCA